rnacentral:misc_RNA from 1 species
UGUGAUUCUGUUGGACUGGCAAAA